UGUGUUACGAAGUCUAUGACAGUUUUCGAACUGCUGAGAAUUGCAUGUGAAACAUUUCCGAUAAUUCCGCAAGUAUCGCACAAGAAGUCCAAAGUAGAGCUGGAAAAUAAUCGAUGUUUUCGAUGUUUUUGAAAGUAAAUAUCGAUGGAACAUCGAUGUGUUCAGUUAUCAAAACAUACGCAUGUUUAAAUUUUCACUUGUAUGGGGCUCGUCAUUUAGAAACAACACUUCUCACAAACCAACACCAUGGUUCGCUUCCACGGAAAUAUAAAUUUCACUUCAUAUAUAAUAAAAACAAGCGAUAAUGGCCAAAGAACCGAUGUUUAGAAAAUUUAAAAAACGUCAAUAGUAUCGAUAGUGUCAUCGAUUGUUUUCC